GGGGCUAUGGGGCUACUCAGCUGGGAGAGCGCCUGCUUUGCACGCAGGAGGUCUGCGGUUCGAUCCCGCAUAGCUCCACCA
rnacentral:tRNA from 1 species